rnacentral:tRNA from 1 species
GCGGGGGUUGCCAAGCCUGGUCAAAUUGGCCGCGGCAUAAGCUGCGGAAAACCAGCGGCGCAGGGCUUAGGACCCUGUCCCGAAGGGGUUCGUGGGUUCAAAUCCCACCCCCCGCA